GAUGAACGCUAGCGGGAGGCCUAACACAUGCAAGCCGAGCGGUAUUGUUUCUUCGGAAAUGAGAGAGCGGCGUACGGGUGCGGAACACGUGUGCAACCUGCCUUUAUCUGGGGGAUAGCCUUUCGAAAGGAAGAUUAAUACUCCAUAAUAUAUUGAACGGCAUCGUUUAAUAUUGAAAGCUCCGGCGGAUAGAGAUGGGCACGCGCAAGAUUAGCUAGUUGGUGAGGUAACGGCUCACCAAGGCGAUGAUCUUUAGGGGGCCUGAGAGGGUGAUCCCCCACACUGGUACUGAGACACGGACCAGACUCCUACGGGAGGCAGCAGUGAGGAAUAUUGGUCAAUGGGUGCAAGCCUGAACCAGCCAUCCCGCGUGAAGGACGACUGCCCUAUGGGUUGUAAACUUCUUUUGUAUAGGGAUAAACCUACCCUCGUGAGGGUAGCUGAAGGUACUAUACGAAUAAGCACCGGCUAACUCCGUGCCAGCAGCCGCGGUAAUACGGAGGGUGCAAGCGUUAUCCGGAUUUAUUGGGUUUAAAGGGUCCGUAGGCGGACUUAUAAGUCAGUGGUGAAAGCCUGUCGCUUAACGAUAGAACUGCCAUUGAUACUGUAAGUCUUGAGUAUAUUUGAGGUAGCUGGAAUAAGUAGUGUAGCGGUGAAAUGCAUAGAUAUUACUUAGAACACCAAUUGCGAAGGCAGGUUACCAAGAUAUAACUGACGCUGAGGGACGAAAGCGUGGGGAGCGAACAGGAUUAGAUACCCUGGUAGUCCACGCCGUAAACGAUGCUAACUCGUUUUUGGGCUUUAGGGUUCAGAGACCAAGCGAAAGUGAUAAGUUAGCCACCUGGGGAGUACGCUCGCAAGAGUGAAACUCGAAGGAAUUGACGGGGGCCCGCACAAGCGGUGGAUUAUGUGGUUUAAUUCGAUGAUACGCGAGGAACCUUACCAAGACUUAAAUGGGAAUUGACAGCUUUAGAAAUAGAGCUUUCUUCGGACAAUUUUCAAGGUGCUGCAUGGUUGUCGUCAGCUCGUGCCGUGAGGUGUUAGGUUAAGUCCUGCAACGAGCGCAACCCCUGUCACUAGUUGCCAUCAUUCAGUUGGGGACUCUAGUGAGACUGCCUACGCAAGUAGAGAGGAAGGUGGGGAUGACGUCAAAUCAUCACGGCCCUUACGUCUUGGGCCACACACGUAAUACAAUGGCCGGUACAGAGGGCAGCUACACAGCGAUGUGAUGCAAAUCUCGAAAGCCGGUCUCAGUUCGGAUUGGAGUCUGCAACUCGACUCUAUGAAGCUGGAAUCGCUAGUAAUCGCGCAUCAGCCAUGGCGCGGUGAAUACGUUCCCGGGCCU
rnacentral:rRNA from 1 species